AUUUAAAUAGUUUAUUUAAAAUAUCAGUUUGUGGGGCUGAGGAUGUGAUUUUACACUUUAGAUA
rnacentral:tRNA from 1 species